AGGACGAACGCUGGCGGCGUGCUUAACACAUGCAAGUCGAGCGGUAAGGCCUUUCGGGGUACACGAGCGGCGAACGGGUGAGUAACACGUGGGUGAUCUGCCCUGCACUUCGGGAUAAGCCUGGGAAACUGGGUCUAAUACCGGAUAUGACCUCCUAUCGCAUGGUGGGUGGUGGAAAGAUUUAUCGGUGCAGGAGUGGGCCCGCGGCCUAUCAGCUUGUGGUGGGUAUGGCCUA
rnacentral:rRNA from 1 species